rnacentral:rRNA from 1 species
UAGGGAAUCUUCGGCAAUGGGGGCAACCCUGACCGAGCAACGCCGCGUGAGUGAAGAAGAUUUUCGGAUCGUAAAGCUCUGUUGUAAGAGAAGAACGUGUGUGAGAGUGGAAAGUUCACACAGUGACGGUAACUUACCAGAAGGGACGGCUAACUACGUGCCAG